rnacentral:ncRNA from 2 species
GUGAAGGAUAUAAGAGAGAGCUUAAAUUAAGUCGCCGAAGGGACAAGUUUUGUUUUAUCCCAAUUAAACAAAAUGAAAUUCUCAGGCAAAAGGAUUAUAUCUGGAUA